rnacentral:rRNA from 1 species
UAGGUCUCAGUUCAGAUUGCAGGCUGCAACUCGACUGCACGAAGCUGGAAUCGCUAGUAAUCGCGGAUCAGCACGCCGCGGUGAAUACGUUCCCGGGCCUUGUACACACCGCCCGUCAAGCCAUGGAAGCCGGGAGCGCCUGAAGUGCGUGAGCGCAAGCAGCGCCCUAAGGUAAAACCGGUGACUGGGGCUAAGUCGUAACAAGGUAGC